AUUGAACGCUGGCGGCAGGCCUAACACAUGCAAGUCGAACGAGUGGCGGACGGGUGAGCAAUGUCUGGGAACCUGCCUGAUGGAGGGGGAUAACUACUGGAAACGUUAGCUAAUACCGCCUACGGUCGUAUGUGCCCAGAUGGGAUUAGCGAGUAGGUGGGGUAACGGCUCACCUAGGCGACGAUCCCUAGCUGGUCUGAGAGGAUGAACAGCCACACUGGAACUGAGACACGGUCCAGACUCCUACGGGAGGCAGCAGUGGGGAAUAUUGCACAAUGGGCGAAAGCCUGAUGCAGCCAUGCCGCGUGUAUGAAGAAGGCCUUCGGGUUGUAAAGUACUGUCAGCGGGGAGGCGUUACCAACCGAAUAAGCACCGGCUAACUUCGUGCCAGCAGCCGCGGUAAUUC
rnacentral:rRNA from 1 species